rnacentral:rRNA from 1 species
UACAGAGGUGGCAAGCGUUGUUCGGAAUUACUGGGCGUAAAGGGCGCGUAGGCGGCCUCCGCAAGUCAAUUGUGAAAUCUCCGGGCUUAACUCGGAAAGGUCAACUGAUACUGCGGGGCUAGAGUGCGGAAGGGGCAACUGGAAUUCUUGGUGUAGCGGUGAAAUGCGUAGAUAUCAAGAGGAACACCCAUUGCGAAGGCAGCUCGCUGGGACGUUACUGACGCUGAGACGCGAAAGCGUGGGGAGCAAACAGG